rnacentral:rRNA from 1 species
CCUACGGGAGGCAGCAGUAGGGAAUAUUGCUCAAUGGGGGAAACCCUGAAGCAGCAAAGCCGCGUGGAGGAUGAAGGUUUUCGGAUUGUGAACUCCUUUUGUUAGAGGAGAUAAUGACGGUAUCUAACGAAUAAGCACCGUCUAACUCCGUGCCAGCAGCCGCGGUAAUACGGAGGGUGCAGGCGUUACUCGGAAUCACUGGGCGUAAAGAGCGCGUAGGCGGGAUAGCAAGUCAGAUGUGAAAUCCUAUGGCUUAACCAUAGAACUGCAUUUGAAACUGUUAUUCUAGAGUAGGGGAGAGGUAGGUGGAAUUCUUGGUGUAGGGGUAAAAUCCGUAGAGAUCAAGAGGAAUACUCAUUGCGAAGGCGACCUGCUAGAACAUAACUGACGCUGAUGCGCGAAAGCGUGGGGAGCAAACAGGAUUAGAUACCCCUGUAGUC